CGCAGAUGUUAAUUCCGCCUCGCGAAAACAUUCAAGACAAAAACACUCGAAACGAAAAUAAAAUAUUCACCACCACCUGGUUUGCCAACAUCGUCUUUACAAGGAAUGUCCAGCAGUGCAUGACAGAGGCCGGUCACUCCCAUUAAGUCCAGCUGAAGAGCCUUCCCAGUUUAUAGGACAAAAUGCAGUUACACAGAUUUUAACGGUGUUGGAAACAAUCAGAGACGAGAACAGGGAAAUGAAGCGGAUGCUGCAGCGGCUCUUGGCUAGGUCAGCUACUGAUGACGAGCCAAUGCAACUGCCAGAGAACAUCAGUCUUCCAAUUGGAACAUUUGAGCAAAUGGAUGAGUUUGAAGAGCAUCUUGGUGAUGAAGCUACGAUCCAUCUUUUCUAGGACUGCUGCAUAGUUCAAGUUUUUUUAUCAAAUAUAUUAAGCAAUGUUGUCAAUGUAAUUGACAGUUCUUUCUUCAUUGAUCCUAAACCAUUCCUUUAAGGCUCAUCUUCUAAGAAAGCAUACAAUUUUUUUAUCUGGAAAUGAAAUGGUAUAUAUUCCUUUGCAAAAGAAGAAACAGCAUUCCAGUUUUUAAAGGUUUUAAAAGACAUAUAUAUAUAUAUAUAUAUCAUGUGCAAUUACGAAAAACACUAGAAUGUAUGAAGAUAUCAAAGAUAAUAAUAUGGACUUGUUCUCGAAAAAGGAUUUGCCAUUUAUUUGAGUUUUGGAUUUUUUUGCAGGGUUUUUAAUUUCUAGUUUAUAAAAUAUUUUGUUUAGUCUUGCAAGUAUGUUUCAAAGCUCUAGAUAAGGAUUUGUGAAAUUAGUAACGGUAUUGCCACUGACAGAAAGAAAAGGAGUAACGCUGAAAAUCAAUUAGUACCUGUACUACCAUAUCCAAAAAUACAGGUAGUACUGUACUACCCGUGUUCUUGGAUAUUGAUGGGUGUAUACCUUACUUUACAGAAACAUUUGCAGCAAUUAUAAUAAAUAUAUUUUGCUUCUUAAACAGUUACUUUAUUAGGUUUUCCAUUCUGAAUUAUGAUGCAAAUACAACUACACAUUAAAACUCAUGACUAAA